UAAGGUGAAACCGCGAAUGGCUCAUUAAAUCACACCUAAUCUACUGGAUAGAAAAAAGUUACUUGGAUAACUGCGGUAAUUCUGGAGCUAAUACAUGCACAAAGCCUCAACCUUACGGGAGAGGCGCUUUUAUUAGAUCAAAACCAAACGGCUUCGGCUGUACUCUUGGUGACUCUGAAUAACUUUGGGCUGAUCGCAUAGCCUUGAGCUGGCGACAUAUCCUUCGAAGGUGUGCCCUAUCAACUGUCGACUGUGGCAUAGACGCCCACAGUGGUUUUGACGGGUAACGGGGAAUCAGGGUUCGAUUCCGGAGAGGGAGCCUUAAAAACGGCUACCACAUCUAAGGAAGGCAGCAGGCACGCAAAUUACCCAAUGACCGAAGGUCGAGGUAGUGACGAAAAAUAACGAUAGAGGACUCAUCCGAGGCCCUCUAAUUGGAAUGAGUACACUUUAAAACCGUUUCCGAGGAUCCAU
rnacentral:rRNA from 1 species